CUCAAUGUAGCAAAUUUAUGCGAUGGCUUUAAGCGUCAUAAAAAGAGUAACUCUCUUUGAGG
rnacentral:tRNA from 1 species